AUUGAACGCUGGCGGCAGGCCUAACACAUGCAAGUCGAGCGCGCGGCGGACGGGUGUGUAAUAUCUGGGACACUGCCUCAUGGAGGGGGAUAACUACUGGAAACAGUAGCGAAUACCGCAUACCAUCUGAUAUGCCCCGAUGGGAUUAGCUAGUAGGUGGGGUAGCGGCUCACCUAGGCGACGAUCCCUAGCUGGUCUGCGAGGAUGACCAGCCACACUGGGACUGAGACACGGUCCAGACUCCUACGGGAGGCAGCAGGGGGGAAUAUUGGACAAUGGGCGCAAGCCUGAUGCAGCCAUGCCGCGGGUGUGAAGAAGGCCUUCGGGUUGUAAAGCACUUUCAGCGGGGAGGCGUUACCCGCAGAAGAAGCACCGGCUAACUCCGUGCCAGCAGCCGCGGUAAUAC
rnacentral:rRNA from 1 species